rnacentral:rRNA from 1 species
GGUUGGCAAUCGCGUUUCGAGUGCAUUGGCAUAAGCCUGCCUAACUGCGAGACCUACAAGUCGAGCAGAGACGAAAGUCGGCCAAAGUGAUCCGGCGGUGGAAAAUGGAAUCGCCGUCGCUCAUCGGAUAAAAGGUACCUUAGGGAUAACAGGCUGAUCGCGCCCAAGAGUUCAUAUCGACGGCGCGGUUUGGCACCUCGAUGUCGGCUCGUCGCAUCCUGGGGCUGGAGAAGGUCCCAAGGGUUCGGCUGUUCGCCGAUUAAAGUGGCACGCGAGCUGGGUUCAGAACGUCGCGAGACAGUUCGGUCCUCUAUCCUCUGUGGGCGUAGGAAACUUGAGGGGUUCAAACUCUAGUACGAGAGGACCGAGUUUGACGAGCCUCUGGUGCUCCGGUUGUCGCGUCAGCGGCAUAGCCGGGUAGCUAAGCUCGGAACAGAUAAGCGCUGAAAGCAUCUAAGCGCCAAGCUAUUCCCAAGAUAAAGUUUCCCUGAAGGAUCGUGGAAGACUACCACGUUGAUAGGCUGCUGGUGUAAUCAUGGCAACAUGUUUAGCUUAGCAGUACUAAUAAUCCGUCUGACUUGUUU